rnacentral:ncRNA from 1 species
AAAGAUGGUGAACUUAUGCCUGAGCGGGGCGAAGCCAGAGAAACUCUGGUGAAGGCCCGCAGCGAUACUGACGUGCAAAUCGUUCGUCUGACUUGGGUAUAGGGGCGAAAGACUAAUCGAACCAUCUAGUAGCUGGUUCCCUCCGAAGUUUCCCUCAGGAUAGCUGGAGCUCGAGCGCGAGUUCUAUCGGGUAAAGCCAAUGAUUAGAGGCAUCGGGGGCGCAACGCCCUCGACCUAUUCUCAAACUUUAAAUAGGUAGGACGGUGCGGCUGCUUUGUUGAGCCGCACCAGGGAAUCGAGAGCUCCAAGUGGGCCAUGGGGGGGAAGCAGAACUGGCGAUGCGGGAUGAACCGGAAGCCGGGUUACGGUGCCCAACUGCGCGCUAACCUAGAUCCCACAAAGGGUGUUGGUCGAAUAAUAAUACUGAUCCUUCUUCUAAUAAUAAUAAUAAUACUAAUAAUAAUAAUAAUAAUAAUAAUAAUAAUAAUAAUAAUAAUAAUAAUAAUAAUAAUAGUCAUCAUUAC